CACGUAGGGGGCAAGCGUUGUCCGGAUUUAUUGGGCGUAAAGAGCUCGUAGGCGGUUCGAUAAGUCGGGUGUGAAACCUCCAGGCUCAACCUGGAGACGCCACCCGAUACUGUCGUGGCUAGAGUCCAGUAGGGGAGCGUGGAAUUCCUGGUGUAGCGGUGAAAUGCGCAGAUAUCAGGAGGAACACCAGCGGCGAAGGCGGCGCUCUGGGCUGGCACUGACGCUGAGGAGCGAAAGCGUGGGGAGCGAACAGG
rnacentral:rRNA from 1 species